rnacentral:lncRNA from 10 species
UGUUAAUUGAGCAGAAAAAUUUUUUCAAAAAUUCAACACCCAUUCAUGAUUUUUAAAAAUUCUCAGAAAAAUAUGAAUAGAGGGGAAUUGCCUCAACUUGAUAAAGAGCGUCUGCAAAAGACCUAUAGCUAACAUUAUACUUCAUCAUGAAAUACUCAAUGUUUACUCUUUAAGAUCAGAAACUAGGUAAAGAUGCCCACCCUCCCCACUCUUAAAUCAACACAACACUGUAAGUUCUAACCAUUACCUUGAGGCAAGAAAAGGUACUAAAAGACACACAGAUGAGAAAGGAAGAAAUAAAACUGUCCCUAUUUGCAGGUGAUAUGGCUGUCAAUAGAGAUCCCAAGGAAUUUACCCAAAAAACCUCCAGUCCCCAAACUACAAACACAAAGGAAGCUCCCAUGGAAUCGGAUGAUGGCACUGUACGAAUCAAGAUGCAGCUAGCAAUAAAAACAGAAGACACCAACACCAGCAGUCCAGAGACCUCCAGUAUAACAUAAAGUGUUCAUAGUAUCCUGAGGAUUCCAGUCACACAGGCUCAAACCUGAGGAUCACCCCGGAUCCUUCCUCUCCGUUGUCCGGAAAAAUCCUACCUCCUAUCCUUUCUAACCCUCCAUCCCACUGUCACUCCUCUAAUUCAGAAAUUUCUCUCCUUUCUUCCCCCAUGCACCCCAAUCUCAUAUAGUGGUGUGAUAUGAUUUGGCUCUGUGUCCCCAACCAAAGCUCAUCUUGUAGUUCCCAUAAUCCCCAUGUGUUAUGGGAGGGACCUGGUGGGAGAUGAUUGAAUCAUGAGGGUGGGUCUUUCCCAUGCUGUUCUCGUGAUAGUGAAUGGGUCUCACGAGAUCUGAUGGUUUUAAAAAUGGGAGUUUCUCUGCACAAGCCCUCUCUUUGCCUGCUGCCAUCCACGUAAGAUGUGACUUGCUCCUCCUUGCCUUCUGCCAUGAUUGUGAGGCCUCCCCAGCCACGUGGAACUGUAAGUCCAAUGAAACUCUUUCUUUCGUAAAUUGCCCAGUCUCUAGUAUGUCUUUAUCAACAGUGUGAAAACGGACUAAUACAUGGUGCCAGGCUGAGCAUUUGGAAACAGUGUUCUAACAAUGCCACUCAUCUGUUCCAAAAUUGCCAAAGGAUCCACACUGCCUAGAGUGAAAUUCAAAUGUGAGCCUGUAAAUCAAAGCGCUUCAUGAGUUCUUCCCAACCUACCUUUCCAUCACAGCCCAACAUCAGGCAAACAGAACCACUGUCUUCUCCGUUCAUUUCCCACUUGGUUCUACUUCUGGGUUUUGCUCUGUUUGGCAUGUGUUUUCCUGCAUCACUGCAUUUCCGAGUCUUACCCAUCCUUCAAAGUUCAUGUCACAUCACCUCCUGCAAGAACAUUCUCUGAUCCUCUCCUGCGUGCAUAAUCACUCCCUCUUUUGGACUCCUGCAACCCUGUGUGCCACUCUUUCGCACUGAGUAAAAGUAUGUGCAUUUCAUAUGUUUCCAUUGGGUGAUAAGGUCUUUGAAAAUAAGGCCCUUACAGAUUCACCCUUCAUGGAGAAGAUGUAGGGAGACCCAAGAACUUGGAGUUUGGCUGGUUUGUAGGAAAUGUAACAAAGUUUGGGGGAAUAAUUUUGGAAAGGUAGGUUGGAAUCAUAUUGUGACUCCAGGGUAAUAGUUAAAAGUGCUUGGGAGUCAUCUGCAGACGUAUGAAGCUAGAUGAGGCAAUCCUGAGAAAAAAUAUCAAAUGUGAAGGGAAAGUGCCCAUCCCUGGAACCACAGGGAACAUUAGCCUGCAAGUAUCCACUGGAAAAUAAAAAAUCAUGGAGACUGGCAGGAAAUGGCUGUAUAGAAUGGAAGUCAGUCACAACAUCCAUACCACACUGGGCAUAAAAAGAAUUUCAGCCCUGUUGGUCAGCCACGAUACAUGCGCUUGAAUAAUUCUGACCGAAUCCUGUAUGGCUUUUUUUUUCUCUAGAAUUGCAAAUAGGGAAGACCAUGCUGACAGACUUGUGGAUCCUUAAUUCAGGACAUUUUAAAAAGGCAAUCACUUGCCCACAUUCUAUUCCUAAUCAGUGGGGCUUCCCAAACCCAGUACACCGGAGACAUCUACAAAUAUGUAGAACUCGCAGAAGUAACGCCUGACCAAGGAACACACGAAUGGGAACAAGGAGUAUUCCUGGUCAUCUGAUUUGUUUCUGUGUUGGCUUCCCAGUCCCAAAAGUGACUCCUAAGGUCAUUACAAUUAUUAAAACCAGAGAACAAGCACAGGGACCCAGAGGAAGUCAGCAGGAGGGGGAACUAGUCCUACAACCACAUAGGACCUGCCCCGUGUCAAUUCAAUUGAAUUCAGCACAGACAAACUGCUGAGCUCCCCGGAGGUGAAAGCCCUGACCUGGGCAGAUGUUUACCUGAUCAAAACAGGGAGGUCCUCCCAAGCCAGCCCUGCUAAAGAUCCCACCUGAGACCACAAUUUUCUUACACCUUAUUCUAACACAAUGGAGGUCAACUUAUUCAUUUCAAGGGUUCUAGAAAUGUUUGAUUCAAAUUACAUUUAAAAAUAUUUUUAAAAUGGUAAACACAGACAAGUGUGUGAUACCAAAUGUGAACAAUCAUAGACCCCAGUGGUUUACAUGAGCCACAGGUUAUAAUAUACUCAUGCCCGCUUCAGAAUAAAGGUUCUCCUGCCAAAACCAUGAAUAUGUUUGAACACAUGUAGAUGUGUCAUUAAUUGGGAAAGCUGUAGUUCCAAAAAGAUCUUUCAACUGUUCGGAUCCAUGCAAGUAUUCUUAUGCUGUAAAACUGUAUGAGCAAGUACACUACCAUCACCCUGGCCCCCUAGCGCCAUGCUCAAUUAAAGGCCAGGAAGGGCUCAGGGACUUCCCUGGAAUGUAUGCUCUUAUAAAGACGUAAUACUAAACUAUACGGUAAUAUGUGACCACAUAACAUGCUGUACCAUGGUAAGUAUUACCAGUAGCAUUAUUAUUAGUAUUAUUAGCAUUACUAGUAGCAUGCUUAUUUUGAUGUUAGACUGAUCAAGACCAACAGUAAUGCAGGGCCAUUCUAUUACUGCUUCUCUUGUGGCCGAUAGCGUCCAUGAUGAAACUGACAACUGAAGUUUGAGCUCAAAAUGCCAGAUUAAACAUGUUUUGCUGUGUUAAAGGCUUUAAGUGAUUACUACAGAGAAACAAACACUGGAGUUUCUGAAAAAAAAAUUAACAACAUAAUUAACCUCUCAUGAUGAUACAACAUAAUUUUGGGAAGAAUUUUCUGCCAAAGAUAUAAAUUGGUGAAUCUAAGUGAAAGAAUCUGUUCCUUUCCAUUAGACCUCUUAUAAUUAAACAAUUGUUACAUAGUGUUAGUGAGUCAACAUUAAAACCAAUUCUUCCUAUAUUUAUCUUUCAUGUUUCUAGAUCAUUGAAAUCAGAAUAGCCUGAAUCUGUAAGGUAUCUUGUUUAAAAGUGCUAUAAUUUCCAAUAUCUAGCUGUUGCAUGUUGUACAGUCAAUAUAAAAUACAGGGGUACACUUGAUAGUGAGAAUGUCAUGAGGCUACAGUGUUCAUCCCAAACCCUCAAUUUCAAAUUUUCAUAACAUUCUCAUUGUUUUCAUUAACUGUAUGUUAAAAACUAAAUUUAUCAAGCUAAUAUAUAUAACAAAAUGUUGGUUUGCUCUGUUAUAGUCAUUAAUAUUCCACAUAAGAUUUCAUUGAAGAGUUUUAAUGCUGAAAAGUUUCCAAAAAUCACUGUAACAUUUAAUAUAUAGGAAAAACCCAAAAUAUGAAGCAGGAAAAGAUGUAAGAAACAGAUCUUUUUGGUUAGAAAGGCAGAAGUAGAAAAGGGUGAGAGUAAUUCAACCACAACUCCAGAUACAAGCUUGAGAAUAAAAAAAAUGCUUUUUGAAUUAAUCAAUGAAGCAGAAAUAGUGUGUCCCUUGCUCCUGGAAUUGGGAGAGGGGAAACUUUGGGACUGGAGAAACAGAGAAGGCCAUAGAGGAAGUUUUGCUUUCCCGAUGAGAACCAUCUUCCCAUAGGCAAAUAAGAAGGCUUCUCUGUGGGAAGCAGGGCAGACCAAAGAGAUGAUGGUCUUUGGGUAGCCAAGUGUAGCCACUGAUCAUUAGGGCCAGCGUAACUGAGGUGUCAGCACAACAGAAAGGAGGCCUUAAGCAGUGAGAUUUCUGGACUUGUGGUAGAGAAAAAGUGGUGACCAGACAUGUGAUUCCGGGGAAGGAGGCUAAAGGGAAAGUGCAGCCUGGAGGGCAGAAGCAAAGCACAGGACACAGAAAUCAUUCAUUCACUCAUUAAUUAAUGAAGCUCCUAUUAAUACAGGCAUUUGAUUGGGCACUGCAGUUACAAAGAUAAAUAAGCCUCAGUCAGUGUCUCCUAGGGGGAGGAGAGGUUGUUACCAAGGGGAAGCCCAAGGAGCUAUAAGGAUGGCAGAGGAAGGGGUCAUAGCUUCCUGGAAGAGGUACCCCCAGAGGUCAGUCUCAAAGAAGUAGGAGUUAAUCAAGCAGAUAAUAGCUGAGAAUGGGGGAGGAUGAGCACCUCUCAACUCAAAGAGCAUUCCUGGAGAAAGACACGAUUUGAGAGAGAGAAUUGUAUAGCUGGGGAAGAGCAAGUGGAUGAAAAUGAGUGAGGCACAAAGUGAAAGGAAGGGAAAGUGAGAGAGGAAACUGUUGAGGGGGCUGGGGCCAGGUCAUGGGAGGCCUGGUGUGUUCUGCAAGGGAGCUCAGACUCUCUCCUAGCAACAGUAGGGAGCCACUGAGGAUGCUAAGCUGGGAAGCUGCACUCACACUUCCCUAUUCAAUUUCUCCACUCUAUUUGCUUGUGUGGCCUCCCAUAAACAUCGCCAAGAGCAGGAACUAUUUUUUUCAUCUUUUCACCUUUAUAUCCUUGGAGCUUAGCAUAGUCCCCAGAAUGCAACAGGAACUUAGCACUUAUUGUUAUAUGAACUAAUGAAUGAAUGAGCAAAGUGCCAAGUAGGGAAAGAAGAGGCUGG